AUCCUCUGUCAGACUAAUUUGGACUGGAUGUUGACAGUUGUCUCUCCCUGAAUAAAUAUUUGUAGUGGCAGAGAGAAAGGUUGCAUAGGCAUUCCACGCUGCAAACACAGUCAACUCAAUUGAAGUGUGACGUAGAGCUCAUACAUCCAGCUGUGUUACCUCUUGAAGUCUUGCUUGUUUUUCUCAAUUCAUUUUCUCUUUUUCUACACUGACUUCCUACAGGAAAAAAAGUGAAGAGUGCUCUUUUGAACUUUGAAUGUUUAAUCAAGAUUGGAAGUGUUCUCUUCAAGAAGGUUGAAUAGAGAUCUCUUGGGAAUGCGGAAGAUGAGCAUAGUGUCCAAAUUAGAUGAUAAUUUUUGUCUUUUACUUUGAAAGCUUGAGGAUAAGAAUUUAUACAGAGGCCAAAGGCAUGGUUCCAGUGCAGCACUCUUUCGAUGGGAUCUGGUCAUUGAAUCUGGUUGGAUUUCAUACGUAACUACUGGCUUUCUGUUACAACUCCAAUUUCAAACUUUGGCAACUCAUGCCUGGGGAGUGGAAGGAUACCAAAAUACACCAAGAAAAAAAUGAUUCUGAUUGUACAUGAUUGUUUUGACUAAAAAUUGUAAUUGUGUCCAGCUACACAGAAGUUUUUUCCUUUAUAGAUUACAGCAAGUUAUACUGUGUCCUAAACCACAUCAGAAAAUCUGAAUGGCAUUAUUUAAAAGAAGAAAUAAAUAAUUUUGGAAAAGAUAGAUUUCCAUCAGUCUUUGUAUUACCAGUGAAAAAUCCAAAUAAAUCAAAUA